GCGGCGGCCACGACGGCGUGCAUGGCAGCGUCCCUGCAUAGGCGAGAACUUUGUUGGCGUGAGCCUUUUGGUGCAGCGAUUCCUACAGCGCCAACGUUGACGGAAGUAUGCGUACACAGUGGAUAGUCAAAGCAAUUUGAAGUCUACGGCGGAAGAGCAGCGCAGAUUGGAUCUUCUAGGGGUAGAUUGGUUUUGAUUAUGCGAAAAGCUCCUGUCAUCUCCUCCAUGGCAGCAACUCCUCCCCCAAUUAAUUAGCAGCAAAUCGAUCUAUAUACAGGCAUAUUCUUCCUGAUGGUCAACCACGCCUCACAGAUUCUCUCGCUCCGGCAAGAUAUCUUUACUGGAGAUCUUCACAACAUGAGGACGACGGCAACCAUAGACGGCGGCGCGGCCAUGGUGAUCCCCAGUCCACCUGCCCCGGGUCCGGUUUGGCACAAGCCACAGAUGCAAACAUGUUGCUGGGUUGAAGCACACAUGCAUGAACAUAUACUUGGCAACGGAUGAUGCAUAUAUCUGUGCAUUAUCAUGUACUGUUUGUAUAGCAGCUUGCUUUGCAAGUAUGCAUUUUUGUAGUAAUUAUG